rnacentral:rRNA from 1 species
UACGUAGGGGGCAAGCGUUGUCCGGAUUUAUUGGGCGUAAAGAGCGUGUAGGCGGUUGGGUAGGUCCGUUGUGAAAACUCGAGGCUCAACCUCGAGACGCCGAUGGAAACCCCCCAGCUAGAGUCCGGAAGAGGAGAGUGGAAUUCCUGGUGUAGCGGUGAAAUGCGCAGAUAUCAGGAAGAACACCCGUGGCGAAGGCGGCUCUCUAGUACGGUACUGACGCUGAGACGCGAAAGCGUGGGGAGCGAACAGG